rnacentral:rRNA from 1 species
GACGAACGCUGGCGGCGUGCCUAAUACAUGCAAGUAGAACGCUGAAGAGAGGAGCUUGCUCUUCUUGGAUGAGUUGCGAACGGGUGAGUAACGCGUAGGUAACCUGCCUUGUAGCGGGGGAUAACUAUUGGAAACGAUAGCUAAUACCGCAUAACAAUAGGUGACACAUGUCAUUUAUUUGAAAGGGGCAAUUGCUCCACUACAAGAUGGACCUGCGUUGUAUUAGCUAGUAGGUGAGGUAACGGCUCACCUAGGCGACGAUACAUAGCCGACCUGAGAGGGUGAUCGGCCACACUGGGACUGAGACACGGCCCAGACUCCUACGGGAGGCAGCAGUAGGGAAUCUUCGGCAAUGGGGGCAACCCUGACCGAGCAACGCCGCGUGAGUGAAGAAGGUUUUCGGAUCGUAAAGCUCUGUUGUAAGUCAAGAACGAGUGUGAGAGUGGAAAGUUCACACUGUGACGGUAGCUUACCAGAAAGGGACGGCUAACUACGUGCCAGCAGCCGCGGUAAUACGUAGGUCCCGAGCGUUGUCCGGAUUUAUUGGGCGUAAAGCGAGCGCAGGCGGUUUGAUAAGUCUGAAGUUAAAGGCUGUGGCUCAACCGUAGUUCGCUUUGGAAACUGUCAAACUUGAGUGCAGAAGGGGAGAGUGGAAUUCCAUGUGUAGCGGUGAAAUGCGUAGAUAUAUGGAGGAACACCGGUGGCGAAAGCGGCUCUCUGGUCUGUAACUGACGCUGAGGCUCGAAAGCGUGGGGAGCGAACAGGAUUAGAUACCCUGGUAGUCCACGCCGUAAACGAUGAGUGCUAGGUGUUGGAUCCUGUCCGGGAUUCAGUGCCGCAGCUAACGCAUUAAGCACUCCGCCUGGGGAGUACGACCGCAAGGUUGAAACUCAAAGGAAUUGACGGGGGCCCGCACAAGCGGUGGAGCAUGUGGUUUAAUUCGAAGCAACGCGAAGAACCUUACCAGGUCUUGACAUCCCGAUGCUAUUUCUAGAGAUAGAAAGUUACUUCGGUACAUCGGUGACAGGUGGUGCAUGGUUGUCGUCAGCUCGUGUCGUGAGAUGUUGGGUUAAGUCCCGCAACGAGCGCAACCCCUAUUGUUAGUUGCCAUCAUUCAGUUGGGCACUCUAGCGAGACUGCCGGUAAUAAACCGGAGGAAGGUGGGGAUGACGUCAAAUCAUCAUGCCCCUUAUGACCUGGGCUACACACGUGCUACAAUGGUUGGUACAACGAGUUGCGAGUCGGUGACGGCAAGCUAAUCUCUUAAAGCCAAUCUCAGUUCGGAUUGUAGGCUGCAACUCGCCUACAUGAAGUCGGAAUCGCUAGUAAUCGCGGAUCAGCACGCCGCGGUGAAUACGUUCCCGGGCCUUGUACACACCGCCCGUCACACCACGAGAGUUUGUAACACCCGAAGUCGAAGAGGUAACCUUUUGGAGCCAGCCGCCUAAGGUG